GUGUGAGUGAUGAUAUAAAUCAGACGGAUUCCCACUGAUUCCACAUGAUGUCUACCAGCUACUUCUGACACAC